rnacentral:rRNA from 2 species
AGGUGGGGAUGACGUCAAAUCAUCAUGCCCCUUAUGACCUGGGCUACACACGUGCUACAAUGGGAAGUACAACGAGUUGCGAAGUCGCGAGGCUAAGCUAAUCUCUUAAAGCUUCUCUCAGUUCGGAUUGCAGGCUGCAACUCGCCUGCAUGAAGCCGGAAUCGCUAGUAAUCGCGGAUCAGCACGCCGCGGUGAAUACGUUCCCGGGCCUUGUACACACCGCCCGUCACACCACGAGAGUUUGUAACACCCGAAGUCGGUGAGGUAACCUUUUUGGAGCCAGCCGCCUAAGGUGGGAUAGAUGAUUGGGGUGAAGUCGUAACAAGGUAGCCGUAUCGGAAGGUGCGGCUGGAUCACCUCCUUUCUAAGGAA